AUUGAACGCUGGCGGCAUGCUUUACACAUGCAAGUCGAACGGUAACAGGCCUUCGGGUGCUGACGAGUGGCGAACGGGUGAGUAAUGCAUCGGAACGUACCCAGAGGUGGGGGAUAACGCAGCGAAAGCUGUGCUAAUACCGCAUGUGAUCUGAGGAUGAAAGCGGGGGACCGAGCAGCAAUGUUUGGCCUCGCGCCUUUGGAGCGGCCGAUGUCGGAUUAGCUAGUUGGUAGGGUAAAGGCCUACCAAGGCGACGAUCCGUAGCUGGUCUGAGAGGACGACCAGCCACACUGGGACUGAGACACGGCCCAGACUCCUACGGGAGGCAGCAGUGGGGAAUUUUGGACAAUGGGCGCAAGCCUGAUCCAGCAAUGCCGCGUGCGGGAAGAAGGCCUUCGGGUUGUAAACCGCUUUUGGCAGGAACGAAACGGUGUCCGCUAAUACCGGGCGCUAAUGACGGUACCUGCAGAAUAAGCACCGGCUAACUACGUG
rnacentral:rRNA from 1 species